GGUCAUGCAUCUUUGAUGCCAAGGCUGGGAUUGCUUUGAAUGAACAUUUCGUGAAACUUAUUGCUUGGUAUGACAAUGAAUGGGGUUACAGUUCACGUGUGGUUGUCUUGAUUGUGCACAUGGCUUCUGUUCAAGCCUGAUGCUAAUCUCAUGAGAUGAUAGAGGGUGACUUUGUUUUGCUUGUGUCGUACUGGUUAGUGUUUUAGGUCCCCUGAGGUUUUGGUUUGGAAUAAACUGCGCAAGAGUCUUGUGUAGUCUUGUUUUGGAUGUUUACUUAUGGAGUCUUUGUGUUAUCUUUGUUUCCCUUGU